GUCUACGGCCAAACCACCCUGAACGCGCCCGAUCUCGUCUGAUCUCGGAAGAUUAUGAGGUUGUGUUCCAGCCCCAAGUCAUUUUGCUGGCAAGUCAGAUU
rnacentral:rRNA from 1 species